UUNUGAACUGGGUGACUAGAGUGUNUCAGAGGGAGGUAGAAUUCCACGUGUAGCAGUGAAAUGCGUAGAGAUGUGGAGGAAUACCGAUGGCGAAGGCAGCNUCCUGGGAUAACACUGACGUUCAUGCCCGAAAGCGUGGGUAGCAAACAGGAUUAGAUACCCAGGUAGUCCACGCCCUAAACGAUGUCGAUUAGCUGUUGGGCAGCAUGACUGCUUAGUAGCGAAGCUAACGCGUGAAAUCGACCGCCUGGGGAGUACGGUCGCAAGAUUAAAACUCAAAGGAAUUGACGGGGACCCGCACAAGCGGUGGAUGAUGUGGAUUAAUUCGAUGCAACGCGAAGAACCUUACCUGGUCUUGACAUGUACGGAACCCUCCAGAGACGGAGGGGUGCCUUCGGGAGCCGUAACACAGGUGCUGCAUGGCUGUCGUCAGCUCGUGUCGUGAGAUGUUGGGUUAAGUCCCGCAACGAGCGCAACCCUUGUCAUUAGUUGCCAUCAUUAAGUUGGGCACUCUAAUGAGACUGCCGGUGACAAGCCGGAGGAAGGUGGGGAUGACGUCAAGUCCUCAUGGCCCUUAUGACCAGGGCUUCACACGUCAUACAAUGGUCGGUACAGAGGGUAGCCAAGCCGCGAGGUGGAGCCAAUCUCACAAAACCGAUCGUAGUCCGGAUUGCACUCUGCAACUCGAGUGCAUGAAGUCGGAAUCGCUAGUAAUCGCAGGUCAGCAUACUGCGGUGAAUACGUUCCCGGGUCUUGUACACACCGCCCGUCACACCAUGGGAGUGGGGGAUACCAGAAGUAGGUAGGGUAACCGCAAGGAGCCC
rnacentral:rRNA from 1 species